AGAACAGAAUGAAGAACUUGGGCUGAUUAUUGACUUAACAUAUACUCGCCGCUAUUAUAAGCCAGAGGACUUACCAGAAACUAUUCGUUAUUUAAGAAUUUGUACAAUUGGGCAUCAGGUGCCAGAUGAUGACACUAUUUUUAAAUUCCCAUGUGCUGUUAAUGGGUUUUUGAAAGAAAAUAAAGAUAAUGACAGACUUAUUGGUGUCCACUGUACCCAUGGUUUAAACAGGACUGGCUACCUCAUCUGCAGAUAUUUGAUUGAUGUAGAAGGCAUGUGGCCAGAUGAUGCAAUUGAAU